AAAAAAAUAUGACACCAGGUCACGGUGCAGUAUGGUUUGCUAUUGCAAUAUGGUUACCUGUUUCAAAAAACGAAAUACAUAGUAUUGGAUUUCAACUUAACUUACUCCAAUCUUAUUUGACUAGGAUUGCUAGUUUUUCUAUUGAAGGUCAGUGGUUUUCUCCAGGCACUUUGGCUUCCUCAAACAAUAAAAACUGGCCACCACAAAAUAGCCUAAAUGUGGUCUUAAGGGGCUCAC
rnacentral:lncRNA from 1 species